GGUCAGAUGGUGUAGUGGUUAAACACCUUCAUUAUGUAAUCGAGAGAUCCUGGGUUCAAUCCCCAGCCUGGCUA